CUUCACGCCCUCACCCCUCCCCACCACAUCUUCAACCCCCAACUCACGCAUCGCCCCCCUCCUCUCUCCUGGACUCCCCAUCGUGCGCCGUUAGGUCGCCGUCGCCGCAUGCCGCUCCUCUCCCCACUCACGGGAGGAACUCUCUCCAAACCCUAACCCUAACCUCCUCUCUCUCCACGAAUACGCGCUGCACGCUGUUGCGCGCUCCCCUCCCCACUCGCCGGUUCCUCCGCGUCUCACCUGAUCUCCACCUCGAAAUCCGCCGCCGGAGCAGCGUUAGGUCGUCGCCCUCGGUGGCUCAUGUCGCACUGUCGCCCACCUUCGCGCCGCCACCGGUCUCCUCCGCACGAUUGGAACAGGAUAAUCUUCUGCUCAAGAAAACACCAAUGUUGGAGAUGAUCACAAUUGUCCUCCACUGCUCUUGAUCAUUCAAGCAGGCA